UACGUAGGGUGCAAGCGUUGUCCGGAAUUAUUGGGCGUAAAGAGCUCGUAGGCGGUUUGUCGCGUCGGCUGUGAAAACCUGGGGCUCAACCCCGGGCCUGCAGCCGAUACGGGCAAACUAGAAUUCGGUAGGGGAGACUGGAAUUCCUGGUGUAGCGGUGAGAUGCGCAGAUAUCAGGAGGAACACCGGUGGCGAAGGCGGUUCUCUGGGCAUGUCCUGACGCUGAGGAGCGAAAGUGUGGGGAGCGAACAGG
rnacentral:rRNA from 1 species